rnacentral:rRNA from 1 species
UUAAGUUAUUAAGGGCGCACGGUGGAUGCCUUGGCACUAGAAGCCGAUGAAGGACGUUACUAACGACGAUAUGCUUUGGGGAGCUGUAAGUAAGCUUUGAUCCAGAGAUUUCCGAAUGGGGAAACCCAGCAUGAGUUAUGUCAUGUUAUCGAUAUGUGAAUACAUAGCAUAUCAGAAGGCACACCCGGAGAACUGAAACAUCUUAGUACCCGGAGGAAGAGAAAGAAAAUUCGAUUCCCUUAGUAGCGGCGAGCGAAACGGGAAGAGCCCAAACCAACAAGCUUGCUUGUUGGGGUUGUAGGACACUCUAUACGGAGUUACAAAGGACGACAUUAGACGAAUCAUCUGGAAAGAUGAAUCAAAGAAGGUAAUAAUCCUGUAGUCGAAAAUGUUGUCUCUCUUGAGUGGAUCCUGAGUACGACGGAGCACGUGAAAUUCCGUCGGAAUCUGGGAGGACCAUCUCCUAAGGCUAAAUACUCUCUAGUGACCGAUAGUGAACCAGUACCGUGAGGGAAAGGUGAAAAGCACCCCGGAAGGGGAGUGAAAUAGAACCUGAAACCGUGUGCUUACAAGUAGUCAGAGCCCGUUAAUGGGUGAUGGCGUGCCUUUUGUAGAAUGAACCGGCGAGUUACGAUUUGAUGCAAGGUUAAGCAGUAAAUGUGGAGCCGUAGCGAAAGCGAGUCUGAAUAGGGCGUUUAGUAUUUGGUCGUAGACCCGAAACCAGGUGAUCUACCCUUGGUCAGGUUGAAGUUCAGGUAACACUGAAUGGAGGACCGAACCGACUUACGUUGAAAAGUGAGCGGAUGAACUGAGGGUAGCGGAGAAAUUCCAAUCGAACCUGGAGAUAGCUGGUUCUCUCCGAAAUAGCUUUAGGGCUAGCCUCAAGUGAUGAUUAUUGGAGGUAGAGCACUGUUUGGACGAGGGGCCCCUCUCGGGUUACCGAAUUCAGACAAACUCCGAAUGCCAAUUAAUUUAACUUGGGAGUCAGAACAUGGGUGAUAAGGUCCGUGUUCGAAAGGGAAACAGCCCAGACCACCAGCUAAGGUCCCAAAAUAUAUGUUAAGUGGAAAAGGAUGUGGCGUUGCCCAGACAACUAGGAUGUUGGCUUAGAAGCAGCCAUCAUUUAAAGAGUGCGUAAUAGCUCACUAGUCGAGUGACACUGCGCCGAAAAUGUACCGGGGCUAAACAUAUUACCGAAGCUGUGGAUUGUCCUUUGGACAAUGGUAGGAGAGCGUUCUAAGGGCGUUGAAGCAUGAUCGUAAGGACAUGUGGAGCGCUUAGAAGUGAGAAUGCCGGUGUGAGUAGCGAAAGACGGGUGAGAAUCCCGUCCACCGAUUGACUAAGGUUUCCAGAGGAAGGCUCGUCCGCUCUGGGUUAGUCGGGUCCUAAGCUGAGGCCGACAGGCGUAGGCGAUGGAUAACAGGUUGAUAUUCCUGUACCACCUAUAAUCGUUUUAAUCGAUGGGGGGACGCAGUAGGAUAGGCGAAGCGUGCGAUUGGAUUGCACGUCUAAGCAGUAAGGCUGAGUAUUAGGCAAAUCCGGUACUCAUUAUGGCUGAGCUGUGAUGGGGAGAAGACAUUGUGUCUUCGAGUCGUUGAUUUCACACUGCCGAGAAAAGCCUCUAGAUAGAAAAUAGGUGCCCGUACCGCAAACCGACACAGGUAGUCAAGAUGAGAAUUCUAAGGUGAGCGAGCGAACUCUCGUUAAGGAACUCGGCAAAAUGACCCCGUAACUUCGGGAGAAGGGGUGCUCUUUAGGGUUAACGCCCAGAAGAGCCGCAGUGAAUAGGCCCAAGCGACUGUUUAUCAAAAACACAGGUCUCUGCUAAACCGUAAGGUGAUGUAUAGGGGCUGACGCCUGCCCGGUGCUGGAAGGUUAAGAGGAGUGGUUAGCUUCUGCGAAGCUACGAAUCGAAGCCCCAGUAAACGGCGGCCGUAACUAUAACGGUCCUAAGGUAGCGAAAUUCCUUGUCGGGUAAGUUCCGACCCGCACGAAAGGCGUAACGAUUUGGGCACUGUCUCAACGAGAGACUCGGUGAAAUCAUAGUACCUGUGAAGAUGCAGGUUACCCGCGACAGGACGGAAAGACCCCGUGGAGCUUUACUGUAGCCUGAUAUUGAAAUUCGGCACAGCUUGUACAGGAUAGGUAGGAGCCUUUGAAACGUGAGCGCUAGCUUACGUGGAGGCGCUGGUGGGAUACUACCCUAGCUGUGUUGGCUUUCUAACCCGCACCACUUAUCGUGGUGGGAGACAGUGUCAGGCGGGCAGUUUGACUGGGGCGGUCGCCUCCUAAAAGGUAACGGAGGCGCUCAAAGGUUCCCUCAGAAUGGUUGGAAAUCAUUCAUAGAGUGUAAAGGCAUAAGGGAGCUUGACUGCGAGACCUACAAGUCGAGCAGGGUCGAAAGACGGACUUAGUGAUCCGGUGGUUCCGCAUGGAAGGGCCAUCGCUCAACGGAUAAAAGCUACCCCGGGGAUAACAGGCUUAUCUCCCCCAAGAGUUCACAUCGACGGGGAGGUUUGGCACCUCGAUGUCGGCUCAUCGCAUCCUGGGGCUGUAGUCGGUCCCAAGGGUUGGGCUGUUCGCCCAUUAAAGCGGUACGCGAGCUGGGUUCAGAACGUCGUGAGACAGUUCGGUCCCUAUCCGUCGUGGGCGUAGGAAAUUUGAGAGGAGCUGUCCUUAGUACGAGAGGACCGGGAUGGACAUACCUCUGGUGUACCAGUUGUCGUGCCAACGGCAUAGCUGGGUAGCUAUGUGUGGACGGGAUAAGUGCUGAAAGCAUCUAAGCAUGAAGCCCCCCUCAAGAUGAGAUUUCCCAACUUCGGUUAUAAGAUCCCUCAAAGAUGAUGAGGUUAAUAGGUUCGAGGUGGAAGCAUGGUGACAUGUGGAGCUGACGAAUACUAAUCGAUCGAAGACUUAAUCAA